rnacentral:rRNA from 1 species
UACGGAGGGUGCAAGCGUUGCUCGGAAUUAUUGGGCGUAAAGGGUAGGUAGGUGGUCUUAUUUGUCUGGGGUGAAAGCCUUGAGCUUAACUCAAGAAGUGCCCCAGAAACGGUGAGACUAGAGUCCUGGAGAGGGUCGUGGAAUUCCCGGUGUAGCGGUGAAAUGCGUAGAGAUCGGGAGGAACACCAGAGGCGAAGGCGGCGACCUGGACAGGUACUGACACUAAGGCGCGAAAGCGUGGGGAGCGAACAGG